rnacentral:rRNA from 1 species
UACGUAGGGUGCAAGCGUUGUCCGGAAUUAUUGGGCGUAAAGAGCUCGUAGGCGGCUAGUCGCGUCGGCUGUGAAAACCUGGGGCUCAACCCCGGGCCUGCAGACGAUACGGGCUAGCUAGAAUUCGGUAGGGGAGACUGGAAUUCCUGGUGUAGCGGUGAAAUGCGCAGAUAUCGGGAGGAACACCGGUGGCGAAGGCGGUUCUCUGGGCCUUACCUGACGCUGAGGAGCGAAAGCGUGGGGAGCGAACAGG